GAACUUCAUGGAAGUGGGAUUAAGUUUUAUGAAUUUGUUGUUGUUCAUGCUUCUAUGUCUCAUACCAUGAUUCCUACAUACUUUUUUGUGAGUUAUGUUGUAUUGAAACCAUGAUAUUAUGUUGUGUUGGUGUUGAUUGUUAAAGUAUGACCUUAAUCUUUGAAGUUAUGGGUGUUAAUCAUGUGUACUUGUGUUAGUGUAACAGUUGUAUGGUUUAGAAUGGUUAAGUAUGGAGUUUGAUGUGGUUAGAAGAUGAAUUUUUGAUGAAAUAAC
rnacentral:lncRNA from 1 species